rnacentral:rRNA from 1 species
CCUACGGGCGGCAGCAGUGAGGAAUAUUGGUCAAUGGACGAGAGUCUGAACCAGCCAAGUAGCGUGAAGGAUGACUGCUCUAUGGGUUGUAAACUUCUUUUAUAUGGGAAUAAAAUGUUCCAUGUGUGGGAUUAUGUAUGUACCAUAUGAAUAAGGAUCGGCUAAUUCCGUGCCAGCAGCCGCGGUAAUACGGAGGAUCCGAGCGUUAUCCGGAUUUAUUGGGUUUAAAGGGAGCGUAGGUGGAUUGUUAAGUCAGUUGUGAAAGUUUGCGGCUCAACCGUAAAAUUGCAGUUGAAACUGGCAUUCUUGAGUACAGUAGAGGUGGGCGGAAUUCGUGGUGUAGCGGUGAAAUGCUUAGAUAUCACGAAGAACUCCGAUUGCGAAGGCAGCUCACUAGACUGCAACUGACACUGAGGCUCGAAAGUGUGGGUAUCAAACAGGAUUAGAUACCCGAGUAGUC